rnacentral:lncRNA from 1 species
GUUGAAGCAACAACAGAAAGAACAGCUCUGUGCCUGUGUCUACAAAACCGAUGGAAAUGGGUUUUCCCCUUGCCUUUUCCCACCAGUGCCGCAGACAGCAGUAUCUGUGGCAGCAGCAAACCCUGGCACCUCUCCAAGAGCAUUCUCUCCCCCGAUGUUAUCCCUUCUCAGGGUUUCUAAAAUGCCAGCAGCACUCCAGCCCCGAAUUAACCAGAUUGUCAGCACACCUCAGGUUUAAGCUGUGAAAUCUGCAGACACGUAGGUACAAGACAAAGAUUUUAAUGAAUGAACCACUACCAAGAGAUGCUCACAAGCUACGUCUGGACAGUGUGGCUCGGGCGACCCAGAGGAAGCAUCGGUACUAUUCCAUCAGUGAGGACCCCUCUGCGCUCUCUUCUCUUCUCCUCCGGAUGUAUCUCCCGUGUUCCACUCGCGUCCUCGGCUAGAUGUUCUUUAAUAUCUAGAAAGAAUUCUAGAUAACAGAUGAGGUCAGACUGGUGAAGAAUUCAAGAAAAGGAAACAAGUGAUUUGUCACCUGCACCUCUGCGUCAUUCAUGCCAACCACAGCCAACCACCCCCCCUUUCUCCUCCUAUCAUACUACACAUGCCACAGUGUACAAAUGUGGAGAGUCCUCCUAAAUCUCCCCAAAAGUCUUCACUCUCAGUGUUGAAGCAGAGGAUCCUGUAAUUGCCUUCAAGUGAGUUGGCAGGGGAGUGACAUGAAAUCUUCGAGUGAAAUAUAGACCUUUUCU